GGAAGCGUUGACAACAACACCCCAGUGACGUCAGUAGUUACGCCUAACGUCACCGCUCGCCACCUGCGCAUUAACCCUCAAUCCUGGGAAUCGUACAUCGCCCUCCGUUUCGAUGUCAGUGGAUGUCAAGUUAGAAAAGGAAGCGACGGACACCCCAGUAAAUUCGCAAGGAAGUCUGUAAACCUAACCCAGAAAAUGGUUGACUCGCACACGGUCAUACACGCAAUGGCAGCAGUACCAUCCUGGAAGGAUUGCGCAUUGACCUGUCACCACCACCGUACCUGUGUGGCAUUCAGCUACCUGUCUACGAAUGGAAUACAGUGGUGUACAGGCUACAGCGCAUGGAUCGUCGCACCGGGGCAGUUCACCUCUAACGUUCAGGUAUUCGUCAACCAAGAUAUCCUAGACACGUACGGGUUCAAAUAUGACAAGGGAGCUUCCAUCCUUUACACAAUCAUCGAUAUCAGGAAGGACCAAGCUGG